rnacentral:lncRNA from 1 species
UUUGCGUAGAUCAUUUUAAUGCGUUCAUUUUUUUUUUUGCGUAUUUUUGUGCCUAAUUUUUAUUCAUUUUAAUUGCUUUUAUUUUUGUUUUUUAGUAACAAAUGUUGAGAGAAAAUAAAUAUAGACAAAUACAUAUUCAUUUGGUUUUGAUUUGUCUCUAUUAAAUAAGAGUUAAUUGCUUUUAUUUUUAUUUUUUAGUAAAAAAU